GAAUAGAAAGUGAAAAAGUCACAUACGGUUUCGGCCCGUUUUUUGGUAGUGAAAGUCUGCCUCUGUUUA
rnacentral:tRNA from 1 species